rnacentral:piRNA from 1 species
AACCCGAGUGAUAUAUAUUUAGAUAAGAUUUUUUUUAAAUAAUUGUUUUUACUCGAGGGAAUGUCUGUAGUCUAGUAUGUUGAUAUAAUCAAUCUAUCUGAAUAUUAUGAAAGGUCAGGUAAUUUUUUUGUAGGGUGAUGCUCUGAAAAAGAACGCUAUACCACUUUAUCACUAAACAAAUUGGCGAGGCAAAAAUAAGCAACCUAAACAAUCCAUUAGCUUUGCAAGAUAAAAACAGAAAUAGAGAAAUGCAUGCAAAAUUUUCAACACAAAUCAAAAUCUUUAAUCCUCAUUAUUAUUAGUUUUUUUUUUUUGCUUAUCCCUAGUGCACGUGGUCAAGGCCAUGAUAAGCAUGGUGGGUAGUUAGCGACUGCUUUUUACUGUAAGCGCACCACAUGUCUACACAUGUGAAAGCAGUUCGACUUUGCACUUACAAAUGUGGCAGAGCCCCGUUUGGUUACUUGCACUCGCUGGUGGGGUUGGACUUUUGCAAGAAUCGGGGGGCCAUUGGAGCAUUUUUUUUUUUUUUAAACAGAAAAAAGUGUCCAAUGCGGGGAUCGAACCCGGGUAGUAGUGGUCGUAAACCAAACGGUUUAACCAGCCUUCCACCGACCCCCCUUCCUCAUCAGUAAUGUAUAUUAGGUAGGAUGAGGUUUAUUUUGUUUCCAUUACAUUACAUGGAAUAGUUUUUUUUUUUCUAAUAAAAUUUACUGACCUCUUUGUUCACCGAAACCUAAACAAUGUGUAUGUUAGACCACUCUUUGUUCAACCUUACACAUUGUUUAGGUCUCUUAUUAGGUGCAAGAUGUAUACUUAUGCUAAAAUGGUAAUUUGGGUAAACAUAGGUAAAUUCAUGUUGGGGCAGUAUUGUUCAGCAAGCCAACACAGAUAUAACAUUACGGUAUGAAGCAAGUUGUGCUAAAACUAAUAUUUCCAAUCAAAUUAUCAAAAAAAUAACACAUACUAUGUAAUAUAAAUACAUGUAUGUAAAAUUAACACAAUAAUAACCAAUAAUUAAAAACCAUAAAUUUUGCUAACACUGUAUACUUCUUAAGUAAGAAUACCUUACCAUGAAGGGUUUAAAACCCUACACAUUGAAACAUGUGAAAAAUGUAGCAUGUGUGUAUGAUGGGCUUGAAGAGAAAAUAUUUAAAAAAGAUAUUUAUUGAAACUUUUGUAAUACCACACAAAAUAUGCAUAUUUACAGUUACAACAGUUGCAGAUCUUAUUAGCGCUUUAAAAGGGACAAUCAUAUAUGAGCAAAGCAUCCAUGUACAUUAGAGGACAUUAGAAACAUAGUGAAAAAAAUAUAAAAGGUAAUGAAUAAAUUUUUGGCUAAUUGAGGAAAGAAAUACCUUAAGAAAGAGCUUCUUGAUAAACAAUAUUUUUUGUGCUGCCAUUAGGUGCGAGAAUAAAAAGUUUUCUGGAGGAACUGACGCGUGAGCAGGCAACAUAAAGCUGGCCAUGGGAAAAACAUGGAACUUGAAGAUCAAUUCCAGCCCAUUUCAAUGUUUGACCUUGUGCUUUGUUAAUUGUCAUUGCAAAGCACAGCUUAACAGGAAAUUGAAGUCUUUUAAAAUGAAAGGGCAAAUCUGAAGAUAUAAUGGGAAUCCUAGGAAUCAUAACCUUCUCACCAGUGCCGCAUCCAGUCAAAAUAGUCGCCUCCAGAAGAUAUCUGUGUAAGCUGUUAACUUGCAACCGAAUACCAUUACACAAUUUUGGGGGAUUAAGAUUUCUUAACAAUAUAAUUGGGGCGCCAACCUUUAGGGUAAGACUGUGCAUAGGCAUUCCAGGCGGAUUGAUAGAAUUUAAAAAUUCAAUGGGGUAAUGCACAGAAUCAUUCGGAUCUACAACAGUGUCUAUUGACAAAUAGGUUCUUGAAGGAGCAAUAAAUUUACCGAGGAUAUAUUCAUUUAUCUUGUCCACAGCAUCAUUUCUUGGCGCUAAUAAAGCCCUUUCACUGAACCAAGAAAGUGGCAUGGUAAGUAAAGAGCCUAUAUUGGGGUAAACAGAUGAUAUUAAGGUAUGGAUAUCUUCAACCAAGACACAAAGAUCACUUGAUGCAAUGGAGAUGAGUCCCUCGUGAGUUGCAAAUGUCCCAUUGCCCAGUUCAAGCAACAGCUGAGAGAAGCUGCUUCCUCUGUCGCCAAAGAGAUGUGCCCGCAUAUUGAUAGUGAGAGAUAACUUAACAAUACUACUCCAAAUAUGAGAGCGCUUAAGGCAUGCAUUCACCUCGUCUGCUCGAGUGCCUUUGGGAAUAACCGGUAAAGUUUGCCGGAAGUCCCCAACAAAAAGAAAUGUCACCCCUCCCAUUAUGGUGUUGCUAUCCCUAAGAUCUUUCAGAGUGCGAUCAAGGGCCUCGAUUGAGCAUCUAUGAGCCAUUGUGCAUUCAUCCCAUAUCAAUAAUGAGCAUUGCUGUAGAAUUUUGGCAGUGGCGCUCUGUUUAGCAAUGUUACAGACUGCUAAUUCAUCAUCAUAGAGAUUCAAAGGUAGCUUAAAUAGAGAAUGUGCUGUUCUGCCGCCAUCAAGGAGUGUAGCGGCGAUUCCAGAAGAAGCAGCAGCACAAACUACUAAACCCUCUAAGCGCAAUUUGGCUAACAAAAGAUUAAUAAUAAAAGUUUUUCCAGUGCCACCAGGAGCAUCCAAAAAAAAAAUCGUGCCAGCCCUAGAGCGAACACUAUUAAGAAUGGCCUCAUAACAAUAUUUCUGAUCAGGAUUUAAAGAAGAUUCGCGGGUUGAAGCCAAAGUUUCUAGCUCACGCCUAUCAUAUAUGUCGGAUAAAAAUGAUGCCUCUCUUGGUGGUGAUACAUUUUCAGGAAGAGGCAAACCCAUACACGCAAUACUUUUACCUGAAAUUGACAGAACAUGUUUUGCAAUUUCCAGUAACGCGGCAUUGAAAACAUCAGCAUUGUAAUCAAGUUCAGGGAUGGACAUAUCUCGUCGCAUUCGGUGCAAAAUAUCUUCAGACAUACACUCCUUAUGAGCAUGCCACAGCGUAAGUGUAUCAGACAUGUGGCAGAAGAUGAGCAUUGUAGAGAACAAUGCUCUCACCGAUGCUGCAUUACGACAUAUAGAUGCCUCUUUGAGAGUUUCAUUCCAGUGAGAGUCGUCUUCUAGUAAGCCUAAAGCUUUGCAGGCCAUUUGGAAGGUAGUGUGGAUAACUCCUUCAACUGUGCGCAAACUCUGGAAAGAACAUGGCCCUCUAAUAUGGAACAAAAGAAGUCUCAAAUAGUAGCAUUCAGCAUUAGUUGGGUGAACUGUAUAGACGCGGCCAAGAACAUCACUUUUCCGCACACCAGGAUAUCCUUCUACAGGAGUACCCUGCUUUCUGCCUAAAAAUUUAUUGUUGGUCCAGGUAUAGAAAGAAGGAACUUCACAGUAUAAUAGUGUCCUAGCAAAUGUGUCUUGGUUACAAAGUUUAAAAAUGCUGUCAGAGUUGUAUCUCUUGGAUUUGAAAUAACAUUUUCUGCAUUUGCAGUAGUGAAAUAGACCCUCUGUCCAUUUUCAAGGUGAACAGCUAAGUGUACAAUAGGAGGUGAUCUUUAAUGGAUGCUGAAACCCAGAAUCCUCCAAACAGCCUCUGCGGAACUUAUAUAGCGGCCAGACUGAAAUUGGGUAACCUCAUCAAGGUGAUUCAAAGAGAAAACUGCCUGAUCAGUUCCCUUAUUAAUGUAUUUGCACACGUAUUUGAUGGCCUUUACGGAGCUGCAGUAUUCCACAUUUAUAUGGGAAUCAAAAGCACGAAGGAGAACAGAAUUAUAGGGCACAAUCCAGCGAUUGUCAAUAUCAAAAGUAACUCCUCGCAUAUUCACCGAUGAAGUAAGACCACCUUCAGCAGAGCACCGUCUUCGGUAUCGGGGAUAACCAUCUUCUGUUGUCGAAGUUGUCUCACAAAAACCUUUAGGAUAUUUUUUGCUACAUUUCCCAUCCUUCAUACAUGGAGAAUUUGUAUUCAGAACCCCACAUGGACCUUGAACCAUUUGUUUAAUGACAAUUGCAUGAAGCUCUGGGUCUAAGUUAAUAUCCGGAAUCUCGGCUUGUAUGACCUCAUCAAUUUGAUUAGGUCUAAUCAUGCUCGUGAGCCAAAGCAGUAAAUGCGCAUGUGGCAGACCACGCUUCUGCCACUCUAUUGUGAACAUAAAACACUUGCAAGGCCCAAAUAGCUCAGCCUUAGUCACUAAAUAGAUAAGCUUUUUCAUUUUAAGGUGAAAAACACGACUAAUCAAAUCAUAUCUAUCUUUAGCAGAGUUAUUUGAAAAUAAAUGCAUCUGAAUUUCUUUCCAUUGAGGGUUGCAUGUAAAUGUUAUAAAAAGCUGAGGCCUUCCAUAGCUACGAACAUAAGUCAUUGCAUCUUGGGUCCGCUCAUGCAGAUAACAGGGACCACCAGUAAACGAUGAUGGCAGUAUGACUAUUUGGCCUAUAUUGGCUAAAUUCUCAUCUGCUCGCAGAGCAUCUUGCAGGUGAAUAUAAUUUUCUGUCCGAAGCUUUUUCUGAUUGCGCCGUAUGAAGGAAAGCCUUUCUGAUUCAACCUUAGCAUACAUAUCAACCCAGAAUUGAUUUGUAAUCAUGCCAUAACGCAGUAGCGAGUUAAAUUCCCCAGCACGAGCCAUCAUUCUGUAAGCAUAAAAAUUCAUGCACGAUACAGUCUUCUGCAUUAUUUCUCUAGUGGAUGGAUUGACUUGAGGUAGCGAAACAGAAUAACCGACCUCACCCCUGCAAAAAAUUAACGGGUAUUGUAGAGGGUCAUAUGCUUGAUGGAUCUCGGAUAUUCUUUGUGUCAAAUUAUUACGACAAUGUAAUACAAUAUCUCUUGGCCCAAAUUCCUGACCUACCAUCAGCAGAGCUACUUCAUUGGUCGUGGGCGCAUUGUAGCGACGCUCAUGCUCUUCUGGUGGAAGCUUAUCAGAGUGUAUAAUAACCCGGUAGUCAGCGUGAUUUUGAGGAAGAGUUUCUAAGGCUGCUUUAAAGGAUUGAAUAUAAUGAUUGUGCGCAUGCAAUAAAUCUUGCAAAGAGCGAACUAAAUCUCUGUUCAAGUUUGCUGUAAUGUUGCAACGUGCAGUAACCUGAGACUCAUAAUUAUCGAUAAAGUAUAUCUGCAGGAAUUUGUGCUCACUAUCAGGUUCUGGAAGGAGACUACCAAUUACGUGGUAAACCUGGCCUUGGACUUUGAAAGUAGGCAUAUAACCUUGCUCCACAACUUGUCUAGCACCAAAAGAUGUCAUUUGGAAUAUAGAGUUAUAUCUACGGAUAUGCAGCAAGAAGGACUUCGAUAGAGGAUGUAGGCCAGAGAGCAAAGAGAAAAUAGGUUCUGGAGGGGACUCAAUAGCAGGUAGAGAAACUCUACCUUGUUUACAACAGAGGCCUAAGGGUUCAUCUUUAAAUCUCAAAGCAGAGCAAAACUGGCAUACCCGAGACAUUUGGCCUAUAUCGACAGAUGAAUCAGCUUUAUAAUCAAUAUGGGCAUUAUACUGCAAACCUGAAAACGGCUUAUGAGUCCAAAGAUGAAUACGCUGAACAGGAACUUGCAUAGUUUGUGUAGCCUCGACGCGGGCUUCAGAAGACCUAAGACGGCGAAGCUCACGACGCGUCUCACGUUGAAGUGGUGUCUCAAGAGCUCUAGCAUUCCUAUAUCUCCUGGAAGCAGCCGUAUUCCUACCAAUUAAAGGUCGGCGGCGGGGAGGCAUAUUCUGAAAAAAAAAAAAAGAUUGAGAUUAAGAACAAAAGCUUAAAAACCAGCAAUUUAUAAACAAAGCAUAAAAAUUUCCUGUCUUUUUGAGGUAAAAAGCAAAAUUCUUAAAUUUCUUCUUCAAAAUAACCUUCCAGAUAUGUUAAAAAGAUUAUAAAAAACUAAAAGCAUAAUAUUAAAAAUAAAAAAAUAAUGUACAAAACCAGUUAUCACUAAAAAGCCUCAAAAAUAGACCAACCGCCGGACACGGCAAUGAAAAAGCAUGUUUUUUUGAGGAAAAAAUAGAAAAAUUCUCUAAAAUACAAAAUACAACCCCUAUAUGGUAAAAAAAACUACAAAUAAUCUAAAUAUAAAAUACAUAAUCAAAUAAAUUAAAAUAUCUUUAAUAAAAUUUAGAAAAAGGACCUCAAAAAGACAAAUAAAUGAAUCCGUUAAAGAAAUCCCUCGCUUACUUAAAAAUAUAAAUAAUCUAUUUUUUAGAUACAACCCAUAUAUGUAGAAAAUAUAAUAAAUAAACUGUAUCUAAAAGAUAAAAGGAAUAAUGAAAAAAUUCCAUAAGAAAAUUUAAAAAAGGACUUCAAAAUGACCCAUAUUUGAACAUACCAAUAAAAUAUCUUGCAUCUUAGUGAAAAAAAAAUAGAAAUAAUCCAAAAGUUGUUUACAAAACAACCCAUAUAUGCUGAAAACACCAUAAUCUACUUCUAAAAUAUCUAAGCAAUUAAUUAAAAUGAAAUUUCAAGCUUUUUAGUGAAAAAAAAGAAAAAUAACCCAAAUUUUUUGCACAAAAAAACCCAUAUAAGUGGAAAACACCAUAAUCUGUAACUAAAAUAUCAAAACAAUUAAUUAAAAAGUUUGUUAAGGUCCUCAAAAAAGACAUAAAAUUGAGCACAUGCAUGAAAUUUCUAGCUUCUUAGUGAAAAAAAGAGGUCCUCAAAAAAGACAUAAAAUCGAGAACAUGAAUGAAAUGUCUAGCUUUUUAGUGAAAAAAAUAGAAAUAACCCUAAAUUCGUAAAAAAUAAUAUAAAAUACCUUAGUCUUAUAAAAAUAUUAACACGUAAUAAAAUAAAAAAGAAACUUGAUCUCAUUAAGUAAGGCCUCAACUUUUUUCGGUAUAAAAUAUGAAAACUAUAAAAUAAAAGUAUCUUACCAAGUAUAAAAGUUAUUAUUAAAAUUAAAAUAUAUAUAUAUAUAAAAGAUAGAACUAAUUUAGCCAGAAGCGGAAAGUAAACACUUUUGAAAGUGUUGUAUCCGCUGUCGAAAGUAAAUACUUUUACUCUGUUGAAUUUUUAUUGUAUUUUAUCGACAACAGCAAAGUUAUGUAUUUUAAAGUUAUGAAAAAUAUUUUGAUGUUAAGCAAAACCUGCUCCAUCUCGUUUUACAUAAAUGUUGAAAAUUUGGUCGAAAUUGAUGCAUUGUAACGAAAGUUUGUAGUGAUGUACUCUUAUGAA